UACGGGGGGAGCAAACGUUGUUCGGAAUCACUGGGCGUAAAGGGCGUGUAGGCGGCUGGAUAAGUGGGAUGUUAAAUCCCCCGGCUCAACCGGGGACCUGCAUCUCAUACUGUUCAGCUCGAGCACAUCAGAGGAGACUGGAAUUCCCGGUGUAGCGGUGAAAUGCGUAGAUAUCGGGAGUAACACCAGUGGCGAAGGCGAGUCUCUGGGAUGAUGCUGACGCUGAGGCGCGAAAGCCAGGGGAGCAAACGGG
rnacentral:rRNA from 1 species